GGCAGCAGCCGCGGGAACACCGGCGGCCCGAGUGGUGAUCGUGAUUAUUGGGUCUAAAGGGUCCGUAGCCGGUUUGGUCAGUCCUCCGGGAAAUCUGAUAGCUCAACUAUUAGGCUUUCGGGGGAUACUGCCAGACUUGGAACCGGGAGAGGUAAGAGGUACUACAGGGGUAGGAGUGAAAUCUUGUAAUCCCUGUGGGACCACCUGUGGCGAAGGCGUCUUACCAGAGCGGGUUCGACGGUGAGGGACGAAAGCUGGGGGCACGAACCGGAUUAGAUACCCGGGUAGUCCCAGCCGUAAACGAUGCUCGCUAGGUGUCAGGCAUGGCGCGACCGUGUCUGGUGCCGCAGGGAAGCCGUGAAGCGAGCCACCUGGGAAGUACGGCCGCAAGGCUGAAACUUAAAGGAAUUGGCGGGGGAGCACAACAACGGGUGGAGCCCUGCGGUUUAAUUGGACUCAACGCCGGACAACUCACCGGGGGCGACAGCAAUAUGUAGGCCAAGCUGAAGACUUUGCCUGAAUCGCUGAGGAGUGGUGCAUGG
rnacentral:rRNA from 1 species